UUAUGCCACUGUGCAUUAUGGCUUUUUUAUUCCUAUGUGAUGAUAAAAAAAUGUUCGUGUAGGAAUCGAAGCCAUGUUACACUUGGUGAGAG
rnacentral:pre_miRNA from 1 species